CAUAGGAAUAUUAUAUAUAUAUAUAUAUAUAUAGGUAGAUAAUAGAGUGUUUAGUAAUUAUCAUUGAUUCUCAUGUUAUUAUGUUUCAUAAAUGUGGUAAGUCUUAUUAAGGAAAAAAUUGUGUAUGAAGUUGAUCAAUGAGAAGAUCCAGCUGCUAGAUGUUAUCUAAUUAAGUAGUUCAUAAAAUGAUAAAUGAAUCUCAACAUAUGAAACUAGUACAUUGGGUGUCCCUGGAGUUCUCUGCAUAUACAGAGCCAGAAUAUUCUCUUCAUUAUCAUAUCCCUACACUUGCUUUUUUAGAUUGUUGAUUUGUUUUGCAUAAAAUACUUAGUUUGGCCAGUACAUAUAUAGUGUAAGAAGCAUAAUGAAUAGGCUUUUAUAUAUAUAUAUUCAGCGAUCAAUCGAUCUACUCUAGUCUUAUUCUGUCGACGGUGUUGUUCAUUUUGGUUUGCUAAGGGCAUUUCAAUAACAACUAUUAUAAAUGCUCUCUCCUCCCUCUUCCCCUCCUCCCUCUUCCUCCGCGUCCUCUCCAAGCUCCGAUCCCAGUCCCAAAUCGCUCUGACAUUCACCCCGAUCUUCUCGGCCCCGCAAGGACGAUCCUUGACCCGGCGAUCUGAUCCGAGCCCUCGACGGUGCCGCUUCUCGAUUCGUUGCUCCGAUCCAUUGGACUAAAUUUUAAAAAAUUGAAACAAGAAGAGCAAUCCACAAUCACCUUAUGCCGUGACUGGUGCCGCAAUUGAUCUUCUCAAUCCAAACAUUGCUUGUGCCCUCGCCGAUCGAGAUGGAGUCGUCGCCAGUCUUUAUGCUGCUGCUUGUGACGAUGACGUCGCUCGACAUCUGGAUGUGGAUGCUGUCAGUGUUGGGGCUGUUACCGAGCGCAGUGAUCUUCGCGCCUUGCACCGUCACACCGUUACUGCCGAAAAUGGAGAUGUGGAAGCCCUCGCUCUUCACCGUCGAUAGCCCGCUGAUGAGGAUGUUGUUUGAUUCAGCAAUAAGCCACAAUGGUUUCCAAAGGAUGGCUACGAAGAACACUUACAAGUGAAAUAUCUGGCCCCAGCGUUACUAUCAAUGUUGCUUUUGCCUUCCCUUCUUCAAGGCUCUCCCAGUAGAAUUAUAAAUGUUAACUCCAUUUGAUUCCGGGAAAAGGCUCAGCUGUUGGAGUCGGCCGUGGACGUGCUGUUGCUAUGCGCGCUAGGGGUAUGAAAGUUGUCUUUCAAGUUGGGUUGGCUUUAUUGAGAUUUUGCCAUAAUGACGUGCUUGUUGACUCAAGUGUGAUUUGAUAACUGGAUCAUCUAGUUAAUUUCACUCUCUUAUCCUGGGAUUAGGGAAUAAAUUUCUUUCGCACAUUCGUGAAAUGGAUUCCAUACUCCAGAACAGCUGGAACUACGGAAAUUGAAGUAGGAAGCAAGAGUUUCAACCAUGCGGUGUUUGUUAAUUUUUGGCUACAUUUUGAACAAGUAUUUUUUGUUAGAACUUAUGUUCGAAAUUUAAUUUGAAUAUUGAGAUUGUAA